rnacentral:rRNA from 1 species
ACUCCUACGGGAGGCAGCAGUGGGGAAUUUUGGACAAUGGGCGAAAGCCUGAUCCAGCAAUGCCGCGUGAGUGAAGAAGGCCUUCGGGUUGUAAAGCUCUUUUGUCAGGGAAGAAACGGUGAAAGCUAAUAUCUUUUGCUAAUGACGGUACCUGAAGAAUAAGCACCGGCUAACUACGUGCCAGCAGCCGCGGUAAUACGUAGGGUGCAAGCGUUAAUCGGAAUUACUGGGCGUAAAGCGUGCGCAGGCGGUUUUGUAAGUCUGAUGUGAAAUCCCCGGGCUCAACCUGGGAAUUGCAUUGGAGACUGCAAGGCUAGAAUCUGGCAGAGGGGAGUAGAAUUCCACGUGUAGCAGUGAAAUGCGUAGAUAUGUGGAGGAACACCGAUGGCGAAGGCAGCCCCCUGGGUCAAGAUUGACGCUCAUGCACGAAAGCGUGGGGAGCAAACAGGAUUAGAAACCCUAGUAGUCCCAU